rnacentral:rRNA from 1 species
ACAUCGCCUUUAGCCAAACAAGUAUUAAAGGUCCCGCCUGCCCAGUGAGCCCCCUUAAACGGCCGCGGUACUCUAACCGUGCAAAGGUAGCGUAAUCACUUGCCCCCUAAAUAGGGGCUAGUAUGAACGGCUAAAUGAGGGCCUAACUGUCUCCUGCGACAAGCCAAUGAAACUGCUCUCUCAGUACAAAAGCUGAGAUGCCACCACAAGACGAGAAGACCCUGUGGAGCUUCUAAGCACCACACUAACCCCACAACCCACCCAUAGUGCACACUUUAAGUUGGGGCGACUACGGAGAAAAUCAUAACCUCCACGAAACAGGACUAACCUCCACCCAAGGCCUACAAGCCGAAACUAUCAAUUACCAAUUGACCCAGCAACGCUGAGCAACGGACCAAGUUACCCCAGGGAUAACAGCGCAAUCCUCCUCAAGAGUCCAUAUCGCCAGGAGGGUUUACGACCUCGAUGUUGGAUCAGGACACCC